rnacentral:rRNA from 1 species
UACGUAGGGUGCGAGCGUUGUUCGGAUUUACUGGGCGUAAAGGGCGCGUAGGCGGUAGCACAAGUCAGUUGUGAAAUCUCCGGGCUUAACUCGGAAAGGUCAACUGAUACUGUGCGACUAGAGUGCAGAAGGGGCAACUGGAAUUCUCGGUGUAGCGGUGAAAUGCGUAGAUAUCGAGAGGAACACCUGCGGCGAAGGCGGGUUGCUGGGCUGACACUGACGCUGAUGCGCGAAAGCCAGGGGAGCGAACGGG